GAUGAAGAACGCAGCGAAGUGCGAUAAGUAAUGUGAAUUGCAGAAUUCCGUGAAUCAUCGAAUUUUUGAACGCAAAUUGCACUCUCUGGUAUUCCGGAGAGUAUGCCUGUUUGAGGGUCAGUCAAAUAAAAAUCGAUGUCGUUGUCAUCAUGAUUACGCGUCGGAAUUGAGUCGUCUUACCUUCGGUUAAGUGACUUAAAAUUUUUACGCGAAUUCGAAACGUAUUUAAUGUUUAUGUACGUUUGCGAUAUUCCAAUAUAUUAGGUGCGGUCAUUCCUAUGAUUCGCGUCUAUAAUUUUUCAUUUCUUGACCUCAAAUCAGGUAAGAGUACCCGCUGAACUUAAGCAUAUCAAUAAGCGGAGGA
rnacentral:misc_RNA from 1 species